rnacentral:rRNA from 1 species
CUACGGGAUGCAGCAGUGGGGAAUAUUGCACAAUGGAAGAAACUCUGAUGCAGCAACGCCGCGUGGAGGAUGACACUUUUCGGAGCGUAAACUCCUUUUAUAUAGGAAGAUAAUGACGGUACUAUAUGAAUAAGCACCGGCUAACUCCGUGCCAGCAGCCGCGGGUAAUACGGAGGGUGCAAGCGUUACUCGGAAUCACUGGGCGUAAAGAGCGUGUAGGCGGGUUAAUAAGUCAGAAGUGAAAUCCUAUGGCUCAACCAUAGAACUGCUUUUGAAACUGUUAACCUAGAGUGUGGGAGAGGUAGGUGGAAUUGCUGGUGUAGGGGUAAAAUCCGUAGAGAUCAGAAGGAAUACCGAUUGCGAAGGCGAUCUACUGGAACAUAACUGACGCUGAGACGCGAAAGCGUGGGGAGCAAACAGGAUUAGAUACCCGAGUAGUC